CUACGAGCGGCUGCAGUGGGGAAUAUUGGACAAUGGGCGAAAGCCUGAUCCAGCCAUGCCGCGUGUGUGAAGAAGGCCUUCGGGUUGUAAAGCACUUUCAGUGGGGAAGAAAGCCUUGGGGCUAAUACCCUCGAGGAAGGACAUCACCCACAGAAGAAGCACCGGCUAACUCCGUGCCAGCAGCCGCGGUAAUACGGAGGGUGCGAGCGUUAAUCGGAAUUACUGGGCGUAAAGCGCGCGUAGGCGGUCUGAUAAGCCGGUUGUGAAAGCCCCGGGCUCAACCUGGGAACGGCAUCCGGAACUGUCAGGCUAGAGUGCAGGAGAGGAGGGUAGAAUUCCCGGUGUAGCGGUGAAAUGCGUAGAGAUCGGGAGGAAUACCAGUGGCGAAGGCGGCCUUCUGGACUGACACUGACGCUGAGGUGCGAAAGCGUGGGUAGCAAACAGGAUUAGAUACCCUUGUAGUC
rnacentral:rRNA from 1 species